CUGUAAUCUCCGGGGGAGGUCCGACGUGCGGCGCUGCAUCAUUCUGGACCUUUUAAGGGAGACCAUGUCCAGCACAUCACUAAGCCUUUUCAACUGUGGGCCAGAAAAGAAGGCCCGGAGCGAGGCAAACAUCUUCAUAAAAAUAGCCCCCAGGAAGACCACUGGGCUAAUCCUCCAACGUUACGCUGCCAAGACGAACUAUAUCCUGUCGACACUUAACAUUCCCUCCGUGUCUAUUAAACAAGACAUCUCUAAGGAAUAGCGCACGCUGACCCGGAUUAGACCCUAUUUUUCAUUUUGUAGGAAGAUUACGCAAAGAGUUGAAUUAAAGCGCAACAGUGCUCAAGCUCAGCGGAUGACAAUCCUAAAAAAUCUUAAGACCUUAGUGUCAGCACCUCUGAAAAGUUCAACAAAUCGCGUGCCAUUUUUUAAUCCGUGUUAUGAAUCUUCGAUUUUUUUUAGCAUCAGUGACAGAUAACAGGUGCUUCUCGAUUAUACGUGACACCAAAAUGAAAAUCUGAUGAUAUUUGUAAUCCUCUGAUUUUGAUAGGUGAGGCCACUGCCAUCUGAUUGUCAGAUGAAAAAGGCCUUUAUUUGACCCCCACCUCGAUGGCACUCUUAUCUGAAUGUACUCAGGCUUUGUAAAUCCGCCAUCGGAUUUUGUUUGAAGUAUUUACACCGGCGGCUCCUUUCAAGGCGACGACUUGUGGGAGAGAGUGACUGUCGGACACAUUGACGUGGCACAAAGGCCUUGCCGACAGCUGGUUGGCAUGGCGAUGACAUCCUAAGUGGCAUCCAUUAGACAAAGUCCCGCUGUGGAGGUUAAAGACACAAGCGCGCCACCAAACCUCCCUCACCUCCCUCUGGGUACAGCUGGAGCGUCAACAAAUAGGGCAACGGUUAUGGGUGGGCGAAAAGAACCUUGCAUCUCUUCACGGAGGACCAGUCCGGGAAUCUUACCUGACCCAUUUUCCUCAAUUUUCACCAAAAUGAAUCAUGGCAUGAGGUUAGGCAGAUGGGUAUGUAGAUUGCGCAAUGUACAGUCCUGAGAGGUGGCUCAUGAGUUCUUAUCUUCUAUGAAGGUUAAAUAAAAUUUCAAACAUAUAAAGUCCCUCUAGUUAUUGUUGAUGGCCAGAUCAAUGCUUGUAUACAUAGUAGCCUAAAAUAAAUGUCUCCAUCACCCAAGGA